rnacentral:rRNA from 1 species
ACACCUGUCUGAGGGUCG